rnacentral:rRNA from 1 species
UACGUAGGGUGCGAGCGUUGUCCGGAAUUAUUGGGCGUAAAGAGCUCGUAGGCGGUGUGUCACGUCGGCCGUGAAAACCUGCAGCUUAACUGUGGGCGUGCGGUCGAUACGGGCAGACUUGAGGUAUUCAGGGGAGAGCGGAAUUCCUGGUGUAGCGGUGAAAUGCGCAGAUAUCAGGAGGAACACCGGUGGCGAAGGCGGUUCUCUGGGAAUAUCCUGACGCUGAGGAGCGAAAGUGUGGGGAGCGAACAGG